AUUGAACGCUGGCGGCAGGCCUAACACAUGCAAGUCGAGCGGAUGAAGGGAGCUUGCUCCUGGAUUCAGCGGCGGACGGGUGAGUAAUGCCUAGGAAUCUGCCUGGUAGUGGGGGAUAACGUCCGGAAACGGGUGCUAAUACCGCAUACGUCCUGAGGGAGAAAGUGGGGGAUCUUCGGACCUCACGCUAUCAGAUGAGCCUAGGUCGGAUUAGCUAGUUGGUGGGGUAAAGGCCUACCAAGGCGACGAUCCGUAACUGGUCUGAGAGGAUGAUCAGUCACACUGGAACUGAGACACGGUCCAGACUCCUACGGGAGGCAGCAGUGGGGAAUAUUGGACAAUGGGCGAAAGCCUGAUCCAGCCAUGCCGCGUGUGUGAAGAAGGUCUUCGGAUUGUAAAGCACUUUAAGUUGGGGGGAAGGGCAGUAAGUUAAUACCUUGCUGUUUUGACGUUACCAACAGAAUAAGCACCGGCUAACUUCGUG
rnacentral:rRNA from 1 species